rnacentral:rRNA from 1 species
GAAUUCGCCCUUAGAGUUUGAUCCUGGCUCAGGAUGAACGCUGGCGGCGUGCCUAACACAUGCAAGUCGAACGGAGUUCUUAAGGAAUGCGACUUCGGUCAAAUGACUUUUGAACUUAGUGGCGGACGGGUGAGUAACGCGUGAGCAACCUGCCUUUCAGAGGGGGAUAACAUUUGGAAACAGAUGCUAAUACCGCAUAAGAUUACAGUACCGCAUGAUACAGUGAUCAAAGGAGCAAUCCGCUGAAAGAUGGGCUCGCGUCCGAUUAGAUAGUUGGUGAGGUAACGGCUCACCAAGUCGACGAUCGGUAGCCGGACUGAGAGGUUGAACGGCCACAUUGGGACUGAGACACGGCCCAGACUCCUACGGGAGGCAGCAGUGGGGAAUAUUGCACAAUGGGCGAAAGCCUGAUGCAGCAACGCCGCGUGAGGGAAGACGGUUUUCGGAUUGUAAACCUCUGUUUUCGGUGACGAAUAAAUGACGGUAACCGAGUAGGAAGCCACGGCUAACUACGUGCCAGCAGCCGCGGUAAUACGUAGGUGGCAAGCGUUAUCCGGAAUUACUGGGUGUAAAGGGAGCGCAGGCGGGAUAGCAAGUCAGCUGUGAAAACUAUGGGCUCAACCCAUAAACUGCAGUUGAAACUGUUAUUCUUGAGUGGAGUAGAGGCAAGCGGAAUUCCGAGUGUAGCGGUGAAAUGCGUAGAUAUUCGGAGGAACACCAGUGGCGAAGGCGGCUUGCUGGGCUCUAACUGACGCUGAGGCUCGAAAGUGUGGGGAGCAAACAGGAUUAGAUACCCUGGUAGUCCACACUGUAAACGAUGAUUGCUAGGUGUGGGGGGUCUGACCCCCUCCGUGCCGGAGUUAACGCAAUAAGCAAUCCACCUGGGGAGUACGCCGGCAACGGUGAAACUCAAAGGAAUUGACGGGGGCCCGCACAAGCGGAGGAACAUGUGGUUUAAUUCGAUGAUACGCGAGGAACCUUACCCGGGCUUGAAUUGCAACUGAAUGAUGUGGAGACAUGUCAGCCGCAAGGCAGUUGUGAAGGUGCUGCAUGGUUGUCGUCAGCUCGUGCCGUGAGGUGUCGGCUUAAGUGCCAUAACGAGCGCAACCCUUAUCGAUAGUUACCAUCAGGUUAUGCUGGGGACUCUGUCGAGACUGCCGUCGUAAGAUGUGAGGAAGGUGGGGAUGACGUCAAAUCAGCACGGCCCUUACGUCCGGGGCUACACACGUGUUACAAUGGGGGGUACAGAAGGCAGCUACACGGCGACGUGAUGCUAAUCCCGAAAGCCUCUCUCAGUUCGGAUUGGAGUCUGCAACCCGACUCCAUGAAGCUGGAUUCGCUAGUAAUCGCGCAUCAGCCACGGCGCGGUGAAUACGUUCCCGGGCCUUGCACACACCGCCCGUCA